UACGGGGGGGGCAAGCGUUGUUCGGAAUUACUGGGCGUAAAGGGCUCGUAGGUGGCCAACUAAGUCAGACGUGAAAUCCCUCGGCUUAACCGGGGAACUGCGUCUGAUACUGGAUGGCUUGAGUUCGGGAGAGGGAUGCGGAAUUCCAGGUGUAGCAGUGAAAUGCGUAGAUAUGCGGAGGAACACCGAUGGCGAAGGCAGUCCCCUGGGCCUGUACUGACGCUCAUGCACGAAAGCGUGGGGAGCAAACAGG
rnacentral:rRNA from 1 species